rnacentral:rRNA from 1 species
UACGGGGGGAGCAAACGUUGUUCGGAAUCACUGGGCGUAAAGGGCGUGUAGGCGGUCGCGUAAGUAGGGCGUGAAAUCCCCAGGCUCAACCUGGGAACUGCAUUCGAAACUGCCAGCCUUGAGUGGUGGAGAGGGAAGUGGAAUUCCUGGUGUAGAGGUGAAAUUCGUAGAUAUCAGGAGGAACACCAGUGGCGAAGGCGGCUUCCUGGACACCAACUGACGCUGAGACGCGAAAGCGUGGGGAGCAAACAGG